AAUAGAAGCAGAGUGUUUGGCAGCAGUGGUAGCCAUGUUUGUUUACAUUUUAAAUACGUUAAAAAUUGUUUUUAGUACAAAAAUAUCUAGUGUUCUAGCAUUACUUUGUGGUUUAUUUUUAUUAUAUUUUCAUGUAAAUUCUGAACAAGUUACGUUCCAAGACCUUAAAAUUUUUUUAAUAAAAUUAAUUUUUCAUAACAGUGGGAUUCAAUCUCAUUGGUUGCUGUCUGUUACAGUUUCAUGCAGUGUGAAAGCGGCAGACGGAUAGCAAAACAAUCAAGAGUCCGGAUCUGUUUACGUAUUUAUGUUUCCAAGUCAUUGCGGAACAGGCCUAAAGGCUGUGCUACAAACACUGGGCACCAAAGUCUAAUAAAUGUCUACUUUACCAAAGGGGAAAAAAAUCAUGCUUUGAAAAAUGAGAACAUUUCAUGUUUUCAGUAAUAAUUGGCUCAGCAUAAAAUCUUAAACACACUAAAGUUUAAAGUUCACUAACUAGCUAUGCAACUAUACAUUAUCAGUGAUCAUGAUCACUUCUGUAUUGCUGAAGCAAGCACCAGCAAAUGGGAAGAAUUAAAAUAUGACAGUAUUUUUUUUAAAUGGCUAAGUUUCUUAACAUUACACAACAUUUGAAAGGCAAUGACAUUAACCUACAGUAUUCUGCCUGUCCGGAUUGGCAUACGUGAGCAUAAUAGCAGAGCUCUGAAUUGGUGAGACUAUGUCGAAACCUUGCUCUUUGAAAUGUUGGCGAAUCAACUCGGCUUGUCUGUGGUUCCAACUUUCGUCAGAUUUAUCCGUGCUGGAUAUACCGUCACGAGGCUACCAGACCGGCUCCCAGGCCAGGCAGAUCUCUACGGACUCCCCCCACCCUGAAAGGCACGACACAGCGGUGCUCACCCUUAACCUGCAUACAUAUGAUCAGCGGCCCUCCCAAAGAGUUCGCAGGGCCUCUUCACACAUCUGGAGGAUUCUGCGGGCUCCGCUCCCAGAAACCCAGAGUGCGGAGUACAGUAACUAGCACGCCAUUGUUCUGGGUGCUUCGGGUGUGAAGUUGACUCUGAUGACGUGACACUUCGGAGGGGUGCGAGACCAUUCUGGGAGGGGGCUGAGAGCAGUAAACACAGCGACACCAGACUCCGAGGCAGGAAGUGAAGAGGACGAGUGACCCUUUGAUGAGCGAAAGCAGAUUAUGAGUAGUGCGAGCAAUGUGUUGGGACAGAGGUGUGAGGUAAGAGACCAGCAUUAAAUAGAGCCACUGUCGAGCCCAGCUCCAGUGGGGAGAGUGAACUGUAGACUGAAAGAAAGAGUUAUUAAUUUGUGGACAGACACUUUAAGUGUUGUAAUUUAAUUAAUGUAAUUAAUGUAAUUUAAUUAAAUUAUUUAAUUUA